rnacentral:rRNA from 1 species
UACGUAGGGUGCGAGCGUUAAUCGGAAUUACUGGGCGUAAAGCGUGCGCAGGCGGUUAUAUAAGACAGUUGUGAAAUCCCCCGGGCUCAACCUGGGAACUGCAUCUGUGACUGUAUAGCUAGAGUACGGUAGAGGGGGAUGGAAUUCCGCGUGUAGCAGUGAAAUGCGUAGAUAUGCGGAGGAACACCGAUGGCGAAGGCAAUCCCCUGGACCUGUACUGACGCUCAUGCACGAAAGCGUGGGGACAAACAGG